rnacentral:rRNA from 1 species
GACAGAGGGUGCGAACGUUGUUCGGAAUUACUGGGCGCAAAGCGCGUGUAGGCUGUUCGGAAAGUCGGGUGUGAAAGCCCUGGGCUCAACCUAGGAAGUGCACUCGAAACUCCCGAACUGGAGUCCCGGAGAGGAAGGCGGAAUUCUCGGUGUAGAGGUGAAAUUCGUAGAUAUCGAGAGGAACAUCGGUGGCGAAGGCGGCCUUCUGGACGGUGACUGACGCUGAGACGCGAAAGCGUGGGGAGCAAACAGG